rnacentral:lncRNA from 10 species
CAUGAAUGAGGCACUUAGAAAAGUGGGUGGCACACAGUGAGUGUCCCACAAGCAGGAGCUCUUAUCAUCCUCCAGGGCUGACCAUGGGCACAGCCAGGGCAGACUCUAAAGGCUCCUGAAUUCCAGCUCUCAAGGCUCCCGAGGGCUCUGGAAAUGUGAGAAUGCCCUUGAUCCCCAGCAAAAGACAAUCUCUGGGACACCCACUCUGACAGCUCCUGCAAUUAGAAGGUGGUCAUGGAGCCUGGGAGAGGAAGGACCACUGGCUGCUGGCUACUCCACAGAGACCACGAGAACUGGCCCUGCCCACCAGUCCAAGGCAAACUUCUCAUCAUUUUUCCAGCCGAGACAGUGACAACUGGGAAAAGGCAUUUUACAGCUAAAAGCAGUCAGCUACAUGCUUGAAUUGCCACUAAAAGAGAGUUCACUCUAGAGAAAAGCAGUUAUCAGCUGUGACUGAGAGAGCAGGGAAAGGAUAAGAAAGAGGAGAGAUCGUGGUUACAGACAAUGCAGCCAUCCAAUCAGAAAGAUAUGCCUAAGGCCCCUGGGGCAGAGUUUACAUGAAACCUUCAGCACCGUCUUCUCCCUGCACAACUGGGGAAGGAGUAUGGACUACACUGUUUUUCCCGAAAUGUACAGAAAUGUGAAGCUAUAGGCCUGACAGGAUGUCUAGAUAGAAAUAGCUUCUAACCAACCUCAUUGGUGACCCCAAUAGAGGGACGUGAUUGUGAGCUGAUGCCAAGGGCUCUGCAGGCCGGCUGGAUGCAGCAACCUGGACCAGCUCCCAGGAAACGGAAAGACAUGGCCCCAGAUUCCUAGAAGGCUCCAGAUGGAGGUGAUUGAAAUGAGGGAGGGACUAGGAACCAAACAGAUGUCUAUAAAACUGACCACAAAGAAAACAUCUUAGAACUGACCACUGAUGUAUAAGACUAAAAAUCUCAGUCUAUGCCUUCUACUUUUAUUGAACAUUCAGUGAGCAAAAGACAGACUGAAGAACUGUUCAGAGUAAAAGAGGUUAAAAAGACUUAUCAACUAAGUGAAACGUAUGAUCCUAGAUCCUUGAUGUGGGAUCAGGAAAAAAAUGCUAAAAAGGACAUUAUUGGUAUGACUGGCAAAUGGACUAUAUUGUAUACUACAUACAUUUCCUGAGCAUGAUUAUGAAAGAGAAUGCCUUUACACUUGUUCUUAGGCGAUCCACACUGAAGUAUCUGGUGUUAAUAGAAUGACUGUAAAUUACUCUUAAAUGGUUCAGCAAAAAUAACAAGUUUAUCUAUAAUAUGUAUUGUAUAAUAUAUAUAUGGAAAGAGAGAGAGACACAGGGAGAGAGAGGCAAAUGGGAAAGUCAGUAGAUCUAGAUAAAGAGCAUAUGGAAUUCAUUGUACUAUUCUUGCAACUUCUGUAAGUUUUCAUUUUUUUCGAAGUAAAACUUAAAACUAAAACUUGUUUAUUACUUUUAUGAUAUCUCAGUGUUUUUAUAUAUAUGCUGCUCAUAGGCAUCAUGUAAUUAUUGAUCAGUAUCAUACAUAUUACAUUAUUUCAUCUAUUGUAAGGUACUAUUAAUUAUAAAUUGCUUCCUCCCCAUGUCAAAGAUGUUACAGUAAAUGCAGUUCUGAUGUUUUGUGAAUCCAAGCAGAAGACUUAGGCUUCAGGAAAAUUCCCAUUCUGCAUUCUUAAUAACUUAGAAAUAAGGGAAUAAGACCUCUGUAAGUCCUCUACAGAGACACAAAGACUCCCAGCUUGGAGCAAGUCUAGACUAAAAGUGUUAGAGAAGCAAUGGAUUGUAACCAAAGUCUAGUAUGAGCUGGUCUGACACACGUGGCAGUUUGACUCCUGUGGAGGUAAAGGCAUCAAGCUCUAUCAGCAUGCGACUCCUGUAAGGCUCUGACUCACUUCCCAGCCCUUGGCAUGAGAGCCCAUCACCCAUCAGGAGAAUCUGAAUGGCAUUCAGUUCCAUAUUCACAGAAGAGGCAAAUCGGUUUCACAAACACCCAUAGUCACAUUAAACUAAUGUUGUUAGUUUGAGUUUUAUUGCUGUUUGCAAUUGUGUUUAAUUUACACAUUUGGUUUUUGUUUUGCACUUGUAAAGCAACUAUAAGCUUAGCUGUUUGUGUUUGUGCUGCUUUAUUUCCACAGCAAUAACUGAAGUCAAGGCAGGGUCCAUAGGAAUGUUUCUUGGCCUUUGAAAAGAAUAGUAGUCAAGUUUGCCAAACAUUGCUUUAGGGAAUUCUCACUCUCUUUUCCCAAGACUGAUGGCACCCCAGCUCAGUAGUCCUUGAGGGUGUGCUUGGAGGGACUGCAGUAAGUCCAGCAGCAGAUGGUACAUAAAUCCUCAGGAGUCAGGAGUCAUUUGUGAGCCUCUUCACAGGGUCCUUGUGCUUGGCCCGAGCUAGGUGUUAGCAUGGCCCAGUGCAGAGCAGCAGGUAACACACACACACACACACACACACACACACACACACACACAAAUGUAUGCACACACAUGCACACAUGAGCUCUGGCUUCUGGUACCCAGGCUGUGGGCUGUAGACCUGACAUUUUCAUGAAUCUCUUUACUCUGUCUUUUCUAAAGCUCAGCACAUCCUCUUUGUCCCUGUGCCCAGCUCAUUUUUCUGUGGGACCUUCUGGUCACAGGGAGGGAAGCAUUUGAGGCUGAAAGUAGCACCACAUCCCCACACGCCUGACUCUUUCUGCAAAACCUUCUGACAUGUGCCCACAUCACCCUCUGUGCUCAGGCCAGAGACCACCCUGUGUUCACCAAAAGUGAGUUGCUUGCUCCCAAAUGUAUUUAUGCUAUUACCAGCAUUUACAUCAACAAAUGUGGACAGAGUGCUCACCACGUGCUUGUGCCCCUAAGGACCCCACCUGGGAAGCCUCCCUACCUGAAAUGUGGACCUCCCUGAGCCUUUGUGGCUGCUGUCUUCCUGUCUCUGUCUCCUGCUCUUCAGAAUCUAUAUUCAUUUUUUCAGGUUGCCGUAAUCCACAGGCCAGGUGGCUUAAACUAUAAAAAACGUAUUGUCUCACAGUUCUGUGACACAGUUGGAGAUCAAGGUGUCACUGGGUUGGUUUCUUCUGAGCUUCUUUUUUCCACUCACAGAUGCCAUCUUCUCCUUGUGUCUUCAUGCAGUCUUCUCUCUGUGUGUGCCUGGGUCCUAAUCUCCUCUUCUUAUAAAGACUCUGGUCAUAUUGGAUUAGGCACUCCCAUAUGAAUUUACCUCUUUAAAAGCCUUAACUCCAAAUACAGUCACAUUUUGAGGUGCUAGGGAUUAGGAUUCAACAUAUGAUUUUUUGAGACAGAGUUUCGCUCUGUCACCCAGGCAGGAGUGCAGUGGCAUGAUCUCAGCUCACUGCAACCUCCGCCUCCCAGGUUCAAGUGAUUCUCCCACCUCAGCCUCCCAAGUAGCUGGGACUACAGGCACCCACCACCAUGCCCAGCUAAUUUUUGUAUUUUUAGUAGAGAUGGGGUUUCGCCAUGUUGGCCAGGCUAGUCUCAAACUCCUGACCUCAAGUGAUCCGCCCACCUCGGCCUCCCAGAGUGCUGGGAUUACAGGCGUGAGCCACCAUGCCCAGCCCUCAACAUACGAAUUUUGAGAGGACACAAUUUAACCCAUUACUGAGCACCACAGAAAUUCUCAUGAAAGGUCUGUCAGGACUCCACCAUUUUGACAUGACCCUCGUUUUCCCCCACAAUCCCCCUUCCAGGACCCCAUUGUGAUGUCACAUUUCAGGUCAAAGCAUUACAUGUUAUUCUUAACACCUGCCACUUCUCUCUUCCCACCUCUAUCUGCCUUAUUGAACUUCAUCUUUCCUUCAUUCUCUUCAACUUCCACUUCUUCUUGUAUGGUCCUGUUGAUGCCAUCUUGUUUCCGUCCCCAGACUCAUCAUCUUUACCCUCUGUCAACUGAGUUCCCACCCUGGUUCUCUCUCAAGAUCUUCCUCUCAUAGCUUUCACCCUUGGUAAACAAUGAGGACACAUCUCAAAAAGAAUGAUGUAAUUUAAUUGCCUUGAGUUGGCUGGGCCAUCAUCUAUUAUAAAGUGCUCUUAAAAUUAAAGCUAAUUUAAUUCUGAAGAACUAAGGAUUAAGAAGUUAAGAGCUGGGGUUCUUACAAUAUGGCUUGCAGACUACAAGUGUGAACUGAGGAGGUCCCCAAAGUCACUUCUUACUAAGUGAAAGCGGUGUAAAUGGCUCUUAUCUGAACCACAAUGAAUUCACAUAUUCAAGUUGGCUUCUUCGGAAAUUUCAGGCCACAAAUGGCAGUGAUGCGACCAGGAGCAGUAACACGAUUACAAGUCGCAAUUUAGGAAGGGUGCUCCAUCAUCAUUUCAUGAUUCUCACUACAGCCCAGACAGGUGGGCAGAGCAGUGUUCUUUCCCCUUUAAUGAAUGAAGAAGCUGAGCCUCAAACAGAUGAGGGGGCUUCCUGGGUUCACAGAGCUCUAAAGGGCUGAGCUGUAGAUCCACGGCCACCAUGAUGAGCUAAGAGUUUCUGGAUUCAGUGCCUGCUGUUGCUCCUGGAGAUUUGUAUCCUGAUUGAAGGCUGGUUCCAUAUCUGUUCACCCAGUCACCUUUAAAAUUAAGUCCUGGGCACAAAUCAUUAGUCUGGCAAGUUACAUCACUGUGCCACUUCCAUCCGGACAGAAGGAACCCAGGUCAAGGCUGACAGGAGGAGCAGGAGCCGUCAAUGAGAGCAGACCUCAGAAGCCAACGGAGGUGAGAAGAGCACCAUCCACAGCCCCAUCCUCUGAAUGCUGUGGGAAGAAGUCCACAAAAUACCACCCCUUGGAGUCAGUCAGUAGUAGAGCCCUUGCUGCUGGCUGCAAAUACCCCAUCAGAACAUGUUUGGGGUGAUUCUUGGACCUGGUUUCAAUUUCUUUUCUGCCAGUCAGCAGUUGUGCUUGACUCACAAUUUGUUGCCAUCUCUUGAAUUAAACUCAGGAAACAGGAUAAAGAUCAGAACCACAUUGUAAAAGCUUCCUUAUGGUUCAUUUUUUGCUGAGAUAAAUAAUGAGCAGCUCUGAUCCAUGUCUCUGGAGAGCUCAGAGCACACUACCAGGAGCUCCUAGCCACAGGGUGAGCACAGGUGGCUGGUGUUCUCUUGAUGAGGAAAGACAGCAGUGUCCAAUCUACCCUGCCUUACACGGAGCCCCAGGUGCUCUCCCGGACUGUGUUGCUACCUAAAGCACAUGGCAAUUGCAUGAUGCUAACCAGAGCAGCCCCUCACUCAUUAGAAACAUCUGCUUUGCAUUAUUUACACAGGCAAAGUUUUCCUUUUUACUGAGCCUACCCAGUUCAAACUUAAGUGGGAUUUGCCAGCUAUCUGGCUAAUUUUAUGAGCAAUAAUAAAGAUUGGUGAACACUUGGUUUUUGCAUAAUUAUAAUCAAUUUUAUGUUAAACUUAGCUUAAAAGAAAUUUAUCUUCAUGAGAAAAAUAGACAGACUUUAGUGAGGACCAAUCUACAAAAUGCCUGACCAGAGUUCUUCAAAACUGUCAAGGUCAUCAAAAUCAAGGAAAGUUUCAGAGAUUGUCACAACCAAGAGGAGCCUAAGGCAAUGCUGUGACUAAAUGUCAUGUGGUGGUCUGGAUGGGGUCUUGGACCGGGAAAAGGAUACUAGAUAAAAACAGGAAAUCCAAAUAAUGUGUAGAUUUUAGUCAAUAAUAAUGUAUCAAUAUUGGCUCAUUAAAUUGUGACAAAUGUGCCAUACCAAUGAAAGAUGUUAAUAACAGGGGAGGCUAGGUGUGGAGCAUUCGAGAACUCUCUCAACUAUGCUCUCAACUUUUGGGUGAGUCUAAAACUGUUCUAAAAUAAAAACUUUAUUUAAAAAUAUAUAAAGAGGCUGGGCACAGUGGCUCAUGCCUGUAAUCCCAGCACUUUGGGAGGUCAGGACAAGAGGAUUUCUUGAGCCCAGGAGUUGGAGACCAGCCUCGGUCACAUGAUAAAACUCUGUUUCUACAACACAUACAAAAAUUAGUGGCACACGCCUGUAGUCUCAGCUAGUCAAGCGGAUGAAGUGUGAGGAUCAUCUGAGCCUGGCAAGGUCAAGGCUGCAGUGAAUAGUGAUUGUGAAAAUGAAAUCCAGCCAGGCGACAGAGUGAGACCCUGUCUAAAAAAAAAAAAAAAAAAAAAAACUAUACAUAUACAUAUGUAAAUUAAGAAUGAAACAGAAACUUCCAUAAUCUCAUCUUCUGAAUUUUGGAAUUGUGUAAAAGUUGCCUCAAACCAAUGAUAAGUAAUAGCUCAUGUUUACCAAGUGCUGACAACAUGUCAGUGUGCUAAGAACUUUACACACGUUACUUGUUUAAUUCUCACAAAGAUCCUAUGGAGUAGGUACAACCAUUAGCCUACUGCACAGAUGUAGAAACUGAGGCAUAGCACCAUUAAAUAAUUUGUCCAGCUCAGAAAGCAGCAUUUGGUUAUAGAGCUCAUGUACUCUACCACUGCUCUGUACUGCACAGAGCAGGGCCACAAAUGAAAAGACAGUCAUGAGUCCGUUAAAAUUCCAGGAUAGUGAACACUGGGACAUAGAAUAUGCUGCUAAGGGGGGCUGGGACAUUCAAGGCCUGAGUGACUUCUCUGCAUCUGUAUACAGAGCCUGGGAGAUGUGCCACUCAUUUGUCAUCUGAUGAUAAUCUACUCAUGAAAAAUCAUAUUCUUUGAAGGAUGAUUAAUUAAUUUGACAAAUCCGAGAUUAAGACAAAUGACUUAGAAGGGAAAGAAUCAGUCAUAGCCUGCACCUGGCCCGGUAUGGACUUCCUGUCGCAGGCCACUACCCCUUCUGCCUGCAUCUUCAGGUCUGCCCAGUUC